rnacentral:rRNA from 1 species
GACAGAGGGGGCAAGCGUUGCUCGGAAUCACUGGGCGUAAAGGGCGCGUAGGCGGGCUGGCAAGUUAGUCGUGAAAUCUCUCGGCUCAACCGAGAAACGUCGGCUGAUACUGCCGUUCUUGAGGGAUGCAGAGGAGACUGGAAUUCCCGGUGUAGCGGUGAAAUGUGUAGAGAUCGGGAGGAACACCGGUGGCGAAGGCGGGUCUCUGGGCAUCUCCUGACGCUGAGACGCGAAAGCGUGGGGAGCGAACAGG